UACGGAGGAUGCAAGCGUUAUCCGGAUUCAUUGGGUUUAAAGGGUGCGUAGGCGGAAUAAUAAGUCAGUGGUGAAAGCCUGCGGCUUAACCGUAGAAUUGCCAUUGAUACUGUUAUUCUUGAGUAUAGUUGAGGUGGGCGGAAUGUGUAAUGUAGCGGUGAAAUGCUUAGAUAUUACACAGAACACCAAUUGCGAAGGCAGCUCACUAAGCUGUUACUGACGCUGAGGCACGAAAGCGUGGGGAGUAAACAGG
rnacentral:rRNA from 1 species